GAUGAACGCUGGCGGCGUGCUUAACACAUGCAAGUCGAACGAUGAAAGCGGGAGCUUGCUCCUGCUGGAUUAGUGGCGAACGGGUGAGUAACACGUGAGUAACCUGCCCUUGACUCUGGGAUAAGCGUUGGAAACGACGUCUAAUACCGGAUACGACCUUCGGAGGCAUCUCCUGGGGGUGGAAAGAAUUUCGGUCAAGGAAUGGACUCGCGGCCUAUCAGCUAGUUGGUGAGGUAAUGGCUCACCAAGGCGACGACGGGUAGCCGGCCUGAGAGGGUGACCGGCCACACUGGGACUGAGACACGGCCCAGACUCCUACGGGAGGCAGCAGUGGGGAAUAUUGCACAAUGGGCGCAAGCCUGAUGCAGCAACGCCG
rnacentral:rRNA from 1 species